rnacentral:rRNA from 1 species
GACGAACGCUGGCGGCGCGCCUAACACAUGCAAGUCGAACGAGCGAGAGAGAGCUUGCUUUCUCGAGCGAGUGGCGAACGGGUGAGUAACGCGUGAGGAACCUGCCUCAAAGAGGGGGACAACAGUUGGAAACGACUGCUAAUACCGCAUAAGCCCACGGCUCGGCAUCGAGCGGGGGGAAAACGAGCAAUCCGCUUUGAGAUGGCCUCGCGUCCGAUUAGCUAGUUGGUGGGGUAACGGCCCACCAAGGCGACGAUCGGUAGCCGGACUGAGAGGUUGAACGGCCACAUUGGGACUGAGACACGGCCCAGACUCCGACGGGAGGCAGCAGUGGGGAAUAUUGCACAAUGGGGGAAACCCUGAUGCAGCGACGCCGCGUGGAGGAAGAAGGUCUUCGGAUUGUAAACUCCUGUUGUUGGGGAAGAUAAUGACGGUACCCAACAAGGAAGUGACGGCUAACUACGUG